rnacentral:tRNA from 1 species
AUUUAUGUAGUUUAGAAAAACAUUACAUUUUCACUGUAAAGACAAAGAAAAACUUUUAUAAAUA